rnacentral:rRNA from 1 species
GACGAACGCUGGCGGCGUGCCUAAUACAUGCAAGUAGAACGCUGAAGGAGGAGCUUGCUUCUCUGGAUGAGUUGCGAACGGGUGAGUAACGCGUAGGUAACCUGCCUGGUAGCGGGGGAUAACUAUUGGAAACGAUAGCUAAUACCGCAUAAUAGCAGUUGUUGCAUGACAACUGUUUGAAAGGUGCAAUUGCACCACUACCAGAUGGAGCUGCGUUGUAUUAGCUAGUUGGUGGGGUAACGGCACACCCAGGCGACGAUACAUAGCCGGCCUGAGAGGGUGGACCGCCCAACUGGGACUGGGACACGGGCCAGACUCCUAAGGGAGGCAGCAGUAGGGAAUCUUCGGCAAUGGACGGAAGGCUGACCGAGCAACGCCGCGUGGGUGAAGAAGGUUUUCGGAUUGUAAAGCUCUGUUUUAAGAGAAGAACGAGUGUGAGGGUGGAAAGUUCACACUGUGACGGUAUCUUACCAGAAAGGGACGGCUAACUACGUG